CUUCUCUCUCUCUCUCCCUGAUCCAAAAACCCAACUCAAUGUUUAUGUUAUGACUGUAACUGUACCAGCCACCAGGUUUGCUAUUUUGUAAAUCUUAUAAUUGGAUCGCUUCAUAUUCAAUAUUGGGUCUCAUCCCAUACCCUUUUUUUUUUCGAACUUUUAAGAUUUGGGUUUCAUUGAUUUGCACGUUUGGUCAAACAAAAAAGGACCCAAGUGUUUAUUUCAUCGGAUUAUCAUGUGUGGGGACUCUGGAGUUGGGAAUUACUGCCACUGAGCUCAUAUUCACAGUGACCACAUAGAGAAUUUGUGUUUUGAAGCUUAGAUUUGACCAUGGAGAAACUUCCUGAUGCAAAAACUACAUCAAGCUAUGGUAGAUCAGCCUGUAAAAAUCAAGGAAGAUGAGGGAGAGAGAGAAAGAGAAGGGAGGAAGA
rnacentral:lncRNA from 1 species